GGCAGGGUGAGUCGACCCCUAAGGCGAGGCCGAAAGGCGUAGUCGAUGGGAAACAGGUUAAUAUUCCUGUACUUGGUGUUACUGCGAAGGGGGGACGGAGAAGGCUAUGUUGGCCGGGCGACGGUUGUCCCGGUUUAAGCGUGUAGGCUGGUUUUCCAGGCAAAUCCGGAAAAUCAAGGCUGAGGCGUGAUGACGAGGCACUACGGUGCUGAAGCAACAAAUGCCCUGCUUCCAGGAAAAGCCUCUAAGCAUCAGGUAACAUCAAAUCGUACCCCAAACCGACACAGGUGGUCAGGUAGAGAAUACCAAGGCGCUUGAGAGAACUCGGGUGAAGGAACUAGGCAAAAUGGUGCCGUAACUUCGGGAGAAGGCACGCUGAUAUGUAGGUGAAGUCCCUUGCGGAUGGAGCUGAAAUCAGUCGAAGAUACCAGCUGGCUGCAACUGUUUAUUAAAAACACAGCACUGUGCAAACACGAAAGUGGACGUAUACGGUGUGACGCCUGCCCGGUGCCGGAAGGUUAAUUGAUGGGGUCAGCGCAAGCGAAGCUCUUGAUCGAAGCCCCGGUAAACGGCGGCCGUAACUAUAACGGUCCUAAGGUAGCGAAAUUCCUUGUCGGGUAAGUUCCGACCUGCACGAAUGGCGUAAUGAUGGCCAGGCUGUCUCCACCCGAGACUCAGUGAAAUUGAACUCGCUGUGAAGAUGCAGUGUACCCGCGGCAAGACGGAAAGACCCCGUGAACCUUUACUAUAGCUUGACACUGAACAUUGAGCCUUGAUGUGUAGGAUAGGUGGGAGGCUUUGAAGUGUGGACGCCAGUCUGCAUGGAGCCGGCCUUGAAAUACCACCCUUUAAUGUUUGAUGUUCUAACGUGGACCCGUGAUCCGGGUUGCGGACAGUGUCUGGUGGGUAGUUUGACUGGGGCGGUCUCCUCCUAAAGAGUAACGGAGGAGCACGAAGGUUGGCUAAUCCUGGUCGGACAUCAGGAGGUUAGUGCAAUGGCAUAAGCCAGCUUGACUGCGAGCGUGACGGCGCGAGCAGGUGCGAAAGCAGGUCAUAGUGAUCCGGUGGUUCUGAAUGGAAGGGCCAUCGCUCAACGGAUAAAAGGUACUCCGGGGAUAACAGGCUGAUACCGCCCAAGAGUUCAUAUCGACGGCGGUGUUUGGCACCUCGAUGUCGGCUCAUCACAUCCUGGGGCUGAAGUAGGUCCCAAGGGUAUGGCUGUUCGCCAUUUAAAGUGGUACGCGAGCUGGGUUUAGAACGUCGUGAGACAGUUCGGUCCCUAUCUGCCGUGGGCGCUGGAGAACUGAGGGGGGCUGCUCCUAGUACGAGAGGACCGGAGUGGACGCAUCACUGGUGUUCGGGUUGUCAUGCCAAUGGCACUGCCCGGUAGCUAAAUGCGGAAGAGAUAAGUGCUGAAAGCAUCUAAGCACGAAACUUGCCCCGAGAUGAGUUCUCCCUGACCCUUUAAGGGUCCUGAAGGAACGUUGAAGACGACGACGUUGAUAGGCCGGGUGUGUAAGCGCAGCGAUGCGUUGAGCUAACCGGUACUAAUGAACCGUGAG
rnacentral:rRNA from 1 species